AUGUGUGUACCUAAGAAUCAAGGAAGAAUGGCUUUUCGUGAUAUCCACUGUUUCAGUUUGGCUAUGCUCGCUAAACAGGCUUGGUGUCUUAUCGAGAAUCCUAAUUCUCUAUGUGCUACUAUUCUGAAAGUCAAAUACCCCGAUGGUGAUUUGUUGAACACUAAUCUAAAAAAGGGUUCUUCCUUCACCCGAGAAAGUAUUAUGGUGGGUGUGAUUUCUCUGAAACAUGGUCACAUUUGACAAGUGGGGAAUGGUCAGAAUAUUAAUAUUUGGGAGGAUGCCUAGAUUCCAAAUUGUGCAAACCGGAAAAUUAUUACUCCUAAGGGAGGUCCAUUGUUAUCUAAGGUAGUAGAUUUGAUUGACCCUAUUCUUAAUACUUGGGAUGAAGAUCUACUUAGACAAACCCUAUGGCCUAUCAAUGUUGAACGAGUACUUGCGAUCCCUAUCUCGCAAGAUGAUAUGCCAGAUUUCAUAGCUUGAAAUUUCACACAAAAUGGUAUGUUUCGGUCCGAUUUGCUUAUUUUUUGGAAUGGGACCAUCAAUAUGGAAACAAGCUACGACAUACCAAUGGGAUGGGACAUACCACAAUUAAUCCUAUUUGGUGUAGGAUUUGGAAACUUUCUUUCUCGGCAAAGGUUAAAUAUUUAUUUGGCAUAUGCUACAUGA
rnacentral:rRNA from 1 species